rnacentral:rRNA from 1 species
UACGGAGGGAGCUAGCGUUGUUCGGAAUUACUGGGCGUAAAGCGCACGUAGGCGGCUUUUAAAGUCAGGGGUGAAAUCCCGGAGCUCAACUCCGGAACUGCCCUUGAAACUGGGAAGCUAGAAUCUUGGAGAGGCGAGUGGAAUUCCGAGUGUAGAGGUGAAAUUCGUAGAUAUUCGGAAGAACACCAGUGGCGAAGGCGACUCGCUGGACAAGUAUUGACGCUGAGGUGCGAAAGCGUGGGGAGCAAACAGG